rnacentral:rRNA from 1 species
AGAGUUUGAUCAUGGCUCAGGACGAACGCUGGCGGCGCGCCUAACACAUGCAAGUCGAACGAGCGAGAGAGAGCUUGCUUUCUCGAGCGAGUGGCGAACGGGUGAGUAACGCGUGAGGAACCUGCCUCAAAGAGGGGGACAACAGUUGGAAACGACUGCUAAUACCGCAUAAGCCCACAGUGCCGCAUGGUACAGAGGGAAAGGAGCAAUCCGCUUUGAGAUGGCCUCGCGUCCGAUUAGCUAGUUGGUGAGGUAACGGCCCACCAAGGCGACGAUCGGUAGCCGGACUGAGAGGUUGAACGGCCACAUUGGGACUGAGACACGGCCCAGACUCCGUACGGGAGGCA